rnacentral:lncRNA from 1 species
AUAGAAUGAGAUUUUAUGACAGUACCAUUGAUGUAAUAGAAUGAGAUUUUAUGACAGUACCAAUGAAGUAAUAGAAUGAGAUUUUCCAGUAUAUUUUUGCUAUGAAUAGGUUUACUAUUUGUUAAAAAUACUCCUUUGAAAAGAUGAAAUUCUGUAUAAAGUCAAUAGUUAAUUGGACAUCCAAAGUGAACAAGGGCAAGUUCAUUAUUUGAAUAAAUUGAACACACGGUAUGGAAGGAUAAAUUAGUUUUUCAUAAUACAGAAAAUCUUAUCCAUGUCAAAGUAGCAUCAAUUAAGAAUCAUACAGAUUGUACUAAUUUUAAUCAAUACAAUGAGUUGAAUUUUUUGCAGAUAAAUUCUGAAAUACCUUUAACAUACGUUUACGCAAGUUAUUAAAAACAGUUGUCCUAUUAAAAAAAAAUCUAUUUUUCACUAUAAUUUUGCUGUUAUAAUUCCAAUUAAAGGCAAAUGAAAGCAGAGGUCUAAUAAAGUUACAAUUUAACCAAUCUAGUACUUUUUUUAUCAUUAAAGGGUAAUUUGAUUAUAUUUAGGCAAGAUAAUUUACCUCACAAAAUCUUGUCAUGGUCUAAGUAAGCAAAAAAGAGGAUGAACUGAAUUGGUAGUUCACAAAACCAUGACAAUAUUUUUUAAGAAAUAACACAAUUUAUGUAUUGGAACCUAGAAAACUAUUCAUUUAAUUUGUACUUUGGUUCCACUUUUACAGUUUUCUGCAAGGUUAUUAUUGUCAUUAAAACAAUAAUUCUUUUAAAAGCAUG